rnacentral:rRNA from 1 species
GAUGAACGCUGGCGGCGUGCCUAAUACAUGCAAGUCGAGCGAACAGAUGAGGAGCUUGCUCCUCUGACGUUAGCGGCGGACGGGUGAGUAACACGUGGAUAACCUACCUAUAAGACUGGGAUAACUUCGGGAAACCGGAGCUAAUACCGGAUAAUAUAUUGAACCGCAUGGUUCAAUAGUGAAAGACGGUUUUGCUGUCACUUAUAGAUGGAUCCGCGCCGCAUUAGCUAGUUGGUAAGGUAACGGCUUACAAAGGCAACGAUGCGUAGCCGACCUGAGAGGGUGAUCGGCCACACUGGAACUGAGACACGGUCCAGACUCCUACGGGAGGCAGCAGUAGGGAAUCUUCCGCAAUGGGCGAAAGCCUGACGGAGCAACGCCGCGUGAGUGAUGAAGGUCUUCGGAUCGUAAAACUCUGUUAUUAGGGAAGAACAAAUGUGUAAGUAACUAUGCAUGUCUUGACGGUACCUAAUCAGAAAGCCACGGCUAACUACGUG